rnacentral:rRNA from 1 species
UGGGGAAUAUUGCACAAUGGGCGAAAGCCUGAUGCAGCAACGCCGCGUGAGUGAUGAAGGUCUUCGGAUUGUAAAGCUCUGUCUUUUGGGACGAUAAUGACGGUACCAAAGGAGGAAGCCACGGCUAACUACGUGCCAGCAGCCGCGGUAAUACGUAGGUGGCGAGCGUUGUCCGGAUUUACUGGGCGUAAAGGGUGCGUAGGCGGAUGUUUAAGUGAGAUGUGAAAUACCCCGGGCUUAACUUGGGUGCUGCAUUUCAAACUGGAUAUCUAGAGUGCAGGAGAGGAGAAUGGAAUUCCUAGUGUAGCGGUGAAAUGCGUAGAGAUUAGGAAGAACACCAGUGGCGAAGGCGAUUCUCUGGACUGUAACUGACGCUGAGGCACGAAAGCGUGGGUAGCAAACAGGAUUAGAUACCCUGGUAGUCCACGCCGUAAACGAUGAGUACUAGGUGUAGGAGGUAUCGACCCCUUCUGUGCCGCAGUAAACACAUUAAGUACUCCGCCUGGGAAGUACGAUCGCAAGAUUAAAACUCUAAAGUGAAUUGAC